ensembl:lncRNA
CGGGCGCGAGGCGCGAGGCCGUCUGUGGAGAAGGAGCCCGCGCCGCGUCCGCCGGAGACCCUGCGUGACCCCACAGGCUGAACGGAACGGAGCAAACAGAGCCGUCAGCACAAGCUGAGCAACUGGAGAGAGCCGUUAACAGGUUAGUCAAAAACACCGUCCUUCACUGCGAAAGUUAUUCCUUUCUGGAUGCAGCCGGAGCACUUUGGAUCAUCUCUAUCAGACACCGCAGUAGGACUGAAGCAGAGUGAACUCCAUGAGCGCCAAGCUUCAGCACAUUAAUUGCUGUUCCUCAGGAACCUGAGACGACCAUUUGGAGGCUGCCUUUUGUCUCAAUGGAAUUUCAGCAUCUCCUUGGGCUUUGCAUUUAUACCAUUCGUGUGAACAGCAAAACUGCACGCAGAUGAUACAGAAGUAACAUAAUAGCAGCAGUAACCGGAUUAACAAUCCAU